rnacentral:rRNA from 1 species
UACGGGAGGCAGCAGUGGGGAAUAUUGCACAAUGGGCGAAAGCCUGAUGCAGCCAUGCCGCGUGUGUGAAGAAGGCCUUCGGGUUGUAAAGCACUUUCAGUCAGGAGGAAAGGGUGUGAGUUAAUACCUCACAUCUGUGACGUUACUGACAGAAGAAGCACCGGCUAACUCCGUGCCAGCAGCCGCGGUAAUACGGAGGGUGCGAGCGUUAAUCGGAAUUACUGGGCGUAAAGCGUACGCAGGCGGUUUGUUAAGCGAGAUGUGAAAGCCCCGGGCUCAACCUGGGAACUGCAUUUCGAACUGGCAAACUAGAGUGUGAUAGAGGGUGGUAGAAUUUCAGGUGUAGCGGUGAAAUGCGUAGAGAUCUGAAGGAAUACCGAUGGCGAAGGCAGCCACCUGGGUCAACACUGACGCUCAUGUACGAAAGCGUGGGGAGCAAACGGGAUUAGAUACCCCGGUAGUCCACGCCGUAAACGAUGUCUACUAGAAGCUCGGAACCUCGGUUCUGUUUUUCAAAGCUAACGCAUUAAGUAGACCGCCUGGGGAGUACGGCCGCAAGGUUAAAACUCAAAUGAAUUGACGGGGGCCCGCACAAGCGGUGGAGCAUGUGGUUUAAUUCGAUGCAACGCGAAGAACCUUACCUACACUUGACAUACAGAGAACUUUCUAGAGAUAGAUUGGUGCCUUCGGGAACUCUG